GGGUUGUGAGGUUAAGCGACUAAGCGUACACGGUGGAUGCCCUGGCAGUCAGAGGCGAUGAAGGACGUGCUAAUCUGCGAAAAGCGUCGGUAAGGUGAUAUGAACCGUUAUAACCGGCGAUGUCCGAAUGGGGAAACCCAGUGCAAUUCGUUGCACUAUCGUUAACUGAAUACAUAGGUUAACGAGGCGAACCGGGGGAACUGAAACAUCUAAGUACCCCGAGGAAAAGAAAUCAACCGAGAUUCCCCCAGUAGCGGCGAGCGAACGGGGAGCAGCCCAGAGUCUGAAUCAGCUUGUGUGUUAGUGGAACGGUCUGGAAAGUCCGACGGUACAGGGUGAUAGUCCCGUACACCAAAAUGCACAGGUUGUGAACUCGAAGAGUAGGGCGGGACACGUGGUAUCCUGUCUGAAUAUGGGGGGACCAUCCUCCAAGGCUAAAUACUCCUGACUGACCGAUAGUGAACCAGUACCGUGAGGGAAAGGCGAAAAGAACCCCGGCGAGGGGAGUGAAAAAGAACCUGAAACCGUGUACGUACAAGCAGUGGGAGCACCUUCGGGUGUGACUGCGUACCUUUUGUAUAAUGGGUCAGCGACUUAUAUUCUGUAGCAAGGUUAACCGUAUAGGGGAGCCGCAGGGAAACCGAGUCUUAACUGGGCGUUAAGUUGCAGGGUAUAGACCCGAAACCCGGUGAUCUAGCCAUGGGCAGGUUGAAGGUUGGGUAACACUAACUGGAGGACCGAACCGACUAAUGUUGAAAAAUUAGCGGAUGACUUGUGGCUGGGGGUGAAAGGCCAAUCAAACCGGGAGAUAGCUGGUUCUCCCCGAAAGCUAUUUAGGUAGCGCCUCGUGAACUCAUCUUCGGGGGUAGAGCACUGUUUCGGCUAGGGGGUCAUCCCGACUUACCAACCCGAUGCAAACUACGAAUACCGAAGAAUGUUAUCACGGGAGACACACGGCGGGUGCUAACGUCCGUCGUGAAGAGGGAAACAACCCAGACCGCCAGCUAAGGUCCCAAAGUCAUGGUUAAGUGGGAAACGAUGUGGGAAGGCACAGACAGCCAGGAUGUUGGCUUAGAAGCAGCCAUCAUUUAAAGAAAGCGUAAUAGCUCACUGGUCGAGUCGGCCUGCGCGGAAGAUGUAACGGGGCUAAACCAUGCACCGAAGCUGCGGCAGCGACACUAUGUGUUGUUGGGUAGGGGAGCGUUCUGUAAGCCUGCGAAGGUGACCUGUGAGGGUUGCUGGAGGUAUCAGAAGUGCGAAUGCUGACAUAAGUAACGAUAAAGCGGGUGAAAAGCCCGCUCGCCGGAAGACCAAGGGUUCCUGUCCAACGUUAAUCGGGGCAGGGUGAGUCGACCCCUAAGGCGAGGCCGAAAGGCGUAGUCGAUGGGAAACAGGUUAAUAUUCCUGUACUUGGUGUUACUGCGAAGGGGGGACGGAGAAGGCUAUGUUAGCCGGGCGACGGUUGUCCCGGUUUAAGCAUGUAGGCUGAUUGUCCAGGCAAAUCCGGAUAAUCAAGGCUGAGGUGUGAUGACGAGGCACUACGGUGCUGAAGUAACAAAUGCCCUGCUUCCAGGAAAAGCCUCUAAGCAUCAGGUAACAUCAAAUCGUACCCCAAACCGACACAGGUGGUCAGGUAGAGAAUACCAAGGCGCUUGAGAGAACUCGGGUGAAGGAACUAGGCAAAAUGGUGCCGUAACUUCGGGAGAAGGCACGCUGGUGUGUAGGUGAAGUCCCUGCGGAUGGAGCUGAGACCAGUCGAAGAUACCAGCUGGCUGCAACUGUUUAUUAAAAACACAGCACUGUGCAAACACGAAAGUGGACGUAUACGGUGUGACGCCUGCCCGGUGCCGGAAGGUUAAUUGAUGGGGUUAUCCGUAAGGAGAAGCUCUUGAUCGAAGCCCCGGUAAACGGCGGCCGUAACUAUAACGGUCCUAAGGUAGCGAAAUUCCUUGUCGGGUAAGUUCCGACCUGCACGAAUGGCGUAAUGAUGGCCAGGCUGUCUCCACCCGAGACUCAGUGAAAUUGAACUCGCUGUGAAGAUGCAGUGUACCCGCGGCAAGACGGAAAGACCCCGUGAACCUUUACUAUAGCUUGACACUGAACAUUGAGCCUUGAUGUGUAGGAUAGGUGGGAGGCUUUGAAGCGUGGACGCCAGUCUGCGUGGAGCCAACCUUGAAAUACCACCCUUUAAUGUUUGAUGUUCUAACGUUGGCCCCUUACCGGGGUUGCGGACAGUGUCUGGUGGGUAGUUUGACUGGGGCGGUCUCCUCCCAAAGCGUAACGGAGGAGCACGAAGGUUAGCUAAUCCUGGUCGGACAUCAGGAGGUUAGUGCAAUGGCAUAAGCUAGCUUGACUGCGAGCGUGACGGCGCGAGCAGGUGCGAAAGCAGGUCAUAGUGAUCCGGUGGUUCUGAAUGGAAGGGCCAUCGCUCAACGGAUAAAAGGUACUCCGGGGAUAACAGGCUGAUACCGCCCAAGAGUUCAUAUCGACGGCGGUGUUUGGCACCUCGAUGUCGGCUCAUCACAUCCUGGGGCUGAAGUAGGUCCCAAGGGUAUGGCUGUUCGCCAUUUAAAGUGGUACGCGAGCUGGGUUUAGAACGUCGUGAGACAGUUCGGUCCCUAUCUGCCGUGGGCGCUGGAGAAUUGAGGGGGGCUGCUCCUAGUACGAGAGGACCGGAGUGGACGCAUCACUGGUGUUCGGGUUGUCAUGCCAAUGGCACUGCCCGGUAGCUAAAUGCGGAAGAGAUAAGUGCUGAAAGCAUCUAAGCACGAAACUUGCCCCGAGAUGAGUUCUCCCUGAGACUUUAAGUCUCCUGAAGGAACGUUAAAGACGAUGACGUUGAUAGGCCGGGUGUGUAAGCGCAGCGAUGCGUUGAGCUAACCGGUACUAAUGAACCGUGAGGCUUAACCUUACAACGCCGAAG
rnacentral:rRNA from 1 species